rnacentral:rRNA from 1 species
AACGAACGCUGGCGGCAUGCCUAACACAUGCAAGUCGAACGAGACCAUCGGGUCUUGUGGCGCACGGGUGCGUAACGCGUGGGAACCUGCCCUUAGGUUCGGACUAACUCCCCGACAGGGGUGCUAAUACCGGAUAAUGUCUUCGGACCAAAGAUUUAUCGCGUUUGGAUGGUCCCGCGUUGGAUUAGCUAGUUGUUAGGGUAAAAGCCUACCAAGGCGACGAUCCAUAGCUGGGCAGAGAGGAUGAUUAGCCACACUGGGACGGAGACACGGCCCAGACUCCUACGGGAGGUGGGAAAGGGGAAUGUAGGAACGUGGGCGGAAGGAUGAUGCAGCAAGGACGGGAGAGUGAUGAAAGUCGUAGGGAUGUAAAGCGCUAUUAACCGGGAAGAUAAUGACGGUACCGAGAGAAUAAGCCCCGGCUAACUCCGUG